rnacentral:rRNA from 1 species
CAGCAGCCGCGGUAAUACGUAGGUGGCAAGCGUUGUCCGGAAUUAUUGGGCGUAAAGGGCUCGCAGGCGGUUUCUUAAGUCUGAUGUGAAAGCCCCCGGCUCAACCGGGGAGGGUCAUUGGAAACUGUGAAACUUGAGUGCAGAAGAGGAGAGUGGAAUUCCACGUGUAGCGGUGAAAUGCGUAGGGAUGUGGAGGAACACCAGUGGCGAAGGCGACUCUCUGGUCUGUAACUAACGCUGAGGAGCGAAAGCGUGGGGAGCGAACAGGAUUAGAUACCCCAGUAGUCCCUGUCUCUUAUAC